rnacentral:rRNA from 2 species
UGCAAGUCGAGCGGCAGCACGGGUACUUGUACCUGGUGGCGAGCGGCGGACGGGUGAGUAAUGCCUAGGAAUCUGCCUGGUAGUGGGGGAUAACGUCCGGAAACGGGCGCUAAUACCGCAUACGUCCUACGGGAGAAAGUGGGGGAUCUUCGGACCUCACGCUAUCAGAUGAGCCUAGGUCGGAUUAGCUAGUUGGUGAGGUAAUGGCUCACCAAGGCGACGAUCCGUAACUGGUCUGAGAGGAUGAUCAGUCACACUGGAACUGAGACACGGUCCAGACUCCUACGGGAGGCAGCAGUGGGGAAUAUUGGACAAUGGGCGAAAGCCUGAUCCAGCCAUGCCGCGUGUGUGAAGAAGGUCUUCGGAUUGUAAAGCACUUUAAGUUGGGAGGAAGGGCAGUUACCUAAUACGUGAUUGUUUUGACGUUACCGACAGAAUAAGCACCGGCUAACUCUGUGCCAGCAGCCGCGGUAAUACAGAGGGUGCAAGCGUUAAUCGGAAUUACUGGGCGUAAAGCGCGCGUAGGUGGUUUGUUAAGUUGAAUGUGAAAGCCCCGGGCUCAACCUGGGAACUGCAUCCAAAACUGGCAAGCUAGAGUAUGGUAGAGGGUGGUGGAAUUU